rnacentral:tRNA from 1 species
GGCGCUGUGCCUGUCUAGUAAACAGGAGAUCCUGGGUUCAAAUCCCAGCAGUGCCU